rnacentral:rRNA from 1 species
UACGAGAGGCGCAAACGUUAUUCGGAUUUACUGGGCUCAAAGAGUUCGUAGGCGGCGCAGAAAGUAGGGUGUGAAAGCCCUCGGCUUAACCGAGGAAUUGCGCUCUAAACUACUGUGCUCGAGGGACCUAGAGGUGAGCGGAACUGAUGGUGGAGCGGUGAAAUGCGUUGAUAUCGGAAGGAACGCCGGUGGCGAAAGCGACACACUGGGUCUCAACUGACGCUGAGGCACGAAAGCCAGGGGAGCGAACGGG